GGUAGUAGACUGGUGGGACGCGAGGAGCGGAUCUGGGUGUCUAACUACCCCCCGCAGUGAAACUUUCCACCAGCCCUGCUUCCUAGCUCCACCCUACACUCCAGCAAGUGAAGCUGCUUGAUCCCCCCAAUUCUGAGACGUUCCAGAGUUCUGCCAGCAAAUCUGUCUCCAGUUCUCAGGAAGACGUCUUCAGCGUUUGUCCUGCCAAAGACUACCAGUAACGAUGUUGAAGAGGAGUAAUGAGAAGGGGCAUCUUCGCUUCGUUCUUGAUCUUGACACGAAAGCUUCCAGUUUCUCAGCCUUGAGUAAGGGAUAGUCCUAACCUAAGGAAGAAGUAUCUGCUGAGGAGGAAUCCCACGGCCUGGGAGGUAUCAGUCUUUCCCGAGACAUCGGUUUCACUUGCUUGUAGAACAUUAAAAAGAAAUUGGAAGUGAUAAACGCAUUAAUCUACAGCUACUUAUGAUUAGGCUGUUCUGGCUAAAAUGGAAUACAUUAUCUGGAAGACAUCUUUCAGACUCCCAAGGCACUUUAAAAUAAUGAAAACAUAUAAAAUAAUAUCUAAGUAAUUAAAGUAAUGGCAAAUAAAAACUUAGCACUAUAUAGAAUUGCCUCUCGGAGUAAUACAUCUCUUUUUAUAAGCCCUUUGUGCUAUAGCUAUUAAUUUUUAAGUAAGAAGAUAUUGCUCUUGAACCAAAAAUGGGAUAUUAACUAACACAUACACUAUUAAUUGCUUUGCAAAUGCAAAGUGCUAAAUUCCGGUUUAUAAAAAUAAACCUUUGAGGGGAUCUGAUAAAAUCUACCCACAGUGCCCACUUCUGAAUGAUCCAAGCAUGAGAGGAGACUCCCCAUUCUAGGGCCAUAAAAACUGCUCCGGGCGAAAGGAGAGCCCGUGUCUCUUCUGCGAGUGGAUUGUCAUGCACCAGGAAGCCUGGGUUGUCACCCUCUGUCCCCACCUCACAGAGUCACUCUUCCCAUUGGCCCAACCCUUCCUGCGACACACGGUGUUUAUUCUCCCACCCCCU